rnacentral:lncRNA from 1 species
UUGCACAUGAGACAAAUGUAUCACACUUAUCCUAUUCUCCAAUCUCCAUAGUUCUGAUUGAGUAAAACUAAAGUUUGCUCCCCAUAAUUCCACCAUAGUUUCGUUGUGCUAAUAGGAUCAGCUCCGCUACAACGUGCUUCCUCUGACAACAGACGACAACAUCUUCCUAAAUCACCAGCAAAUUUGAUUCCAUUCUCGGCACCAACAUACACUGGUAUGCUCUCCAACCUGUUGAAAGUAUUGCCUCUAUUGUAGAUGUAUUUUAAGAAUUGUUCAAUGAUCAAUGCAGUGUAAUCAUUGACUCACUCCAAGAUCUUAGACAGUUUGUUCACAUAAA